rnacentral:ncRNA from 2 species
GUUAAAUAGCAGGGGAGCUUAAGGCUGAGAGGAUGUAUUCAAUCAUCGACCCUUAACCUGAUCUGGGUAAUGCCAGCGUAGGGAGUUCGUCAAAGUAUCAA